GUUUGUGUACUGUAAUGGUUUGAGUCAUGGACUACAAUUCUGGAGACCAAGGGUUCAAUUCCCUGCCCAAUCA